CCUCUCUUCCCUUCAAAAACCGCUCUGUUGCCUCUCUUUUAAAACGCACGUAUAAAUUUCCCUUUUUCCUUCUGCCUCUUUCAGCCAAGGCGAAGCAAAACGUGAAACCCUUCUUCUCUCUCAUAUAUUACUAAUAAACACUAACACUAACCGAUAUAUACAUACACAUCUAACUCAGUGGUGUUUGCAAAAAGAUUAUAAAUUAUGUCAAUUCGGUUCAAAUUCCGGAGCUCGGUGAAUUUCGAUACAGUAGACAUCGACGGACGGGAUUCAAUAUCUGUUCGCAAGCUGCGGUCCAAAAUCCUUAGCGGUAAAAUCCUAGGCGCCUCUCGGCAUGAUCUCGAUCUUGUGUUUUUGGAUGCGGAUUCUGGUCAAGAUUACAAAGAUGAUGAUAUCCAAAUUCCUAGCGGAUCCAGCGUGAUUGUUAAGCGAGUUCCGGCAGGGACUGUGCCAUCGGUUAUCUCUUACCCUUGAGAAUCACGUGGAGCUUCUGCAUGGAUAUAAUGAGAAAUCUGUUUUUUCUUCUUUAAUGAUAGAUGUACCGGGUACCUAUCGAAACCGUGGAGGUUUUGGGAAAAAAAGACUACUGCCAAAUGAAUCCAGCUGCUUCUUUCUCAUCUUGGAUACUACUCUCUCUGGUACCAUUUUCCUCUGAAAUUAAAAUUUUACUGACCAGGAAGCAGGGACAUGCCUCUGGCGUCAUCGUGUCGGUGUCUGACACACGUACUUGAUACCAACAAGUCGCCAAAACGUGUCCGACGCACCAGGUGGCGUGUCCCUUUUUUUCUUUGGUUUUAUGAAGUUCGAUACAUUGGGAACAUGCUGGGACAGUCACCGACACACUGUGCAUUACUUGAUAAUCUGAAAAAAAUAAAUAGAAGGAAGAAAAUUUCGAGCAAUUUAUCUCUCCAUCCAUAUUGCAAGGUGCCGUAUUCAAGGAGAUGAUGGAGGGUUGAAGAGGUAAGGCGCGUGUUUGGAAGAGGGUGGCGCCGUGGGUGUUCAUGGGCAGUGUGGAUGGAAUUUGGUCAUGUGUGGCUGUGGCUAUGCAAAAAUGAAAUGGGAAACCAUCCAGAUAUUACAAGGCUUUGUAUUAUUAACUGGCAAAAAUCAUUUAAAAAAAAAAAAAUAAAUUGCAGAAGCAGUUCGGACUGCACUAUUUUUUGGUCUUUACUUUAAUUGCAAAAUGACACAGGCAAUUUAACCCUAAUGCAUGACCCAUUUGAUUUUAUCUUUUGUUACAAAAUGACAAACAGGAUUUUAAAGACAAAAUAUAUAAAAUGUCCUAU